UGCUGUCCAAAAUGGACAAACAGGACACAAAACAAAGGACUGCUGAUCCUUGCCAAGACAAGGCUAUGGUUUCUGCCUUCAAUCUCAGUGUUGAAAUUGCCUUUCGAACUUGAACCAGCCAAAAAAAAAUUCUAAAUGAAAACCAAGAAUAAAAAGAGCAAAGUCUGAAACCAACUUGAGAAGUGAACAGUGUACUUGGGCCGCACAUGGGCGCGGAGAGCGUGUGACAGCCUUCAUGGAGCAGGCCCUUCCUCGGCCAGGCCUAGCUGCUGGGCCAGCUCUGCCACCAUGUCCCAGAAGCCGUGGGGCAGCAACGGAAGUCGUGUUUGGAGGUUCCCCACAGAAGCUUGUUUACCGACUCCUCAGAGCCACGCUUGCCUGCUUCCUCGUUGGUUUCCUGCCACGGCAUGAUCGAUUCUUACAGAUACAUUUCGCUAGAAGUCGAGUGGUGCCAGGCAACCCGUGCCAAAGCAGUCUCAUUUCCAUGUGUGGUCUGGGUGGAUUGGGAGAGGCUACAGGCAGAACCGCUCCGAUUUCAGCAGCAUGCUUGGAAGAGUGUCUCAUCCACCUGAGCCUCCCUAGAGUGGUCAUCUGACCUAGUCCUUCCCCUGCUGGAACCCAGGGCACCACAUUACCUGCAAGACAGACUGGGAACUCAGCCAUGUGCAGGGCCACCAGGAAUCUCUGUCUUGGGUGCUAUGGUCCCUUCCCGCUGCUCUCCUGAGCACUUGCAUCUCCAUAAUGCAACUCUCCUUUCAGUACUGCUUGAGCCAACCGGAAUGCUCUGCCCUGCCUUGUCCCCACAGUUAAUCCAUACUCAGCUGGAGAGUCCAGCUGAACCGAACAUCCCCACCUUCCCUUUCUCUGGUCCACCCAACUGGAAAGAAUCAACACCCCAACCCCAACCCCCAUGAGUUCUUAUGUGCACUGUGCUUAUGACAGGAACUUGGGACAGGAUGUUUCUUAAAAUUCAAAAUGUUCAGUUUAUAAAAGAUAGAAAAGACCAAA